rnacentral:rRNA from 1 species
AUUGAACGCUGGCGGCAGGCUUAACACAUGCAAGUCGAGCGGGGUGAUGGUGCUUGCACUAUCACUUAGCGGCGGACGGGUGAGUAAUGCUUAGGAAUCUGCCUAUUAGUGGGGGACAACAUCUCGAAAGGGAUGCUAAUACCGCGUACGUCCUACGGGAGAAAGCAGGGGAUCACUUGUGACCUUGCGCUAAUAGAUGAGCCUAAGUCGGAUUAGCUAGUUGGUGGGGUAAAGGCCUACCAAGGCGACGAUCUGUAGCGGGUCUGAGAGGAAGAUCCGCCACACUGGGACUGAGACACGGCCCAGACUCCUACGGGAGGCAGCAGUGGGGAAUAUUGGACAAUGGGGGGAACCCUGAUCCAGCCAUGCCGCGUGUGUGAAGAAGGCCUUAUGGUUGUAAAGCACUUUAAGCGAGGAGGAGGCUCCUUUGGUUAAUACCCAAGAUGAGUGGACGUUACUCGCAGAAUAAGCACCGGCUAACUCUGUGCCAGCCGCCGCCGUAG